GAUGAACGCUGGCGGCGUGCCUAAUACAUGCAAGUCGAGCGAACGGACGAGAAGCUUGCUUCUCUGAUGUUAGCGGCGGACGGGUGAGUAACACGUGGAUAACCUACCUAUAAGACUGGGAUAACUUCGGGAAACCGGAGCUAAUACCGGAUAAUAUUUUGAACCGCAUGGUUCAAAAGUAAAAGACGGUCUUGCUGUCACUUAUAGAUGGAUCCGCGCUGCAUUAGCUAGUUGGUAAGGUAACGGCUUACCAAGGCAACGAUGCAUAGCCGACCUGAGAGGGUGAUCGGCCACACUGGAACUGAGACACGGUCCAGACUCCUACGGGAGGCAGCAGUAGGGAAUCUUCCGCAAUGGGCGAAAGCCUGACGGAGCAACGCCGCGUGAGUGAUGAAGGUCUUCGGAUCGUAAAGCUCUGUUAUUAGGGAAGAACAUAUGUGUAAGUAACUGUGCACAUCUUGACGGUACCUAAUCAGAAAGCCACGGCUAACUACGUG
rnacentral:rRNA from 1 species